AUUGAACGCUGGCGGCAGGCCUAACACAUGCAAGUCGAGCGGAGCGGCGGACGGGUGAGUAAUGCCUAGGAAUCUGCCUGGUAGUGGGGGAUAACGUCCGGAAACGGGCGCUAAUACCGCAUACUAUCAGAUGAGCCUAGGUCGGAUUAGCUAGUUGGUGGGGUAAAGGCCUACCAAGGCGACGAUCCGUAACUGGUCUGAGAGGAUGAUCAGUCACACUGGAACUGAGACACGGUCCAGACUCCUACGGGAGGCAGCAGUGGGGAAUAUUGGACAAUGGGCGCAAGCCUGAUCCAGCCAUGCCGCGUGUCUGAAGAAGGCCUUCGGGUUGUAAAGGACUUUUGUCAGGGAAGCGGUACCUGAAGAAUAAGCACCGGCUAACUACGUGCCAGCAGCCGCGGUAAUUC
rnacentral:rRNA from 1 species